rnacentral:rRNA from 1 species
UACGUAGGUGGCUAGCGUUGUCCGGAUUUACUGGGCGUAAAGAGCGCGCAGGCGGUCGUUCAAGUCGAGUGUGAAAGCCCCCGGCUCAACUGGGGAGGGUCACUCGAUACUGAUCGACUCGAAGGCAGGAGAGGGAAGCGGAAUUCCCGGUGUAGUGGUGAAAUGCGUAGAUAUCGGGAGGAACACCAGUGGCGAAGGCGGCUUUCUGGCCCGUUACCGACGCUCAGGCGCGACAGCGUGGGGAGCGAACAGG